rnacentral:rRNA from 1 species
AGGAUCCUACGGGACGCAGCAGUGAGGAAUAUUGGUCAAUGGGCGGAAGCCUGAACCAGCCAAGUCGCUUGAGGGAAGAAGGCCCUGCGGGUCGCAGACCUCUUUGGACGGGGAGCAAGGCCGCCGACGUGUCGGCGGAAGGAGAGUACCCGUGGAACAAGCAUCGGCUAACUCCGUGCCAGCAGCCGCGGUAAUACGGAGGAUGCGAGCGUUAUCCGGAUUUAUUGGGUUUAAAGGGUGCGCAGUCGGCACGGCAAGCCGGCGGUCAAAUCGCGGGGUUCAACCCCGCCCAGCCGUCGGACCCG